GAAGCUAAGUUAUAGGCCAGGUUCUGGCUCCUCCGCACAUCUCCUGAACUCGGAGGAUUUGUUUCUUCAAUGAACUUUUAAACUCCCCUAAACUUGCCCUUUCGGGACGGGGCUAUCUCUGCCUAUUGUCUUUCUUUCCAGCCUUUAUUAUUUCUUUUGCUCACCCCUUUGAGUUGUUUAAUCCACUUGAGGAUAAACGCCCAGCUUACAAGGUUUUACUCUUCAGGAGGGAUUUUUUGUUGCGCUUUCGUGCGUUUGGAGGGGUCCGUGACUGAAGUUUCUUUCAUAACCUGCCUCUCAGACCUGCCUAAAUGUAUCAUUCAUAAAUUAUGUUUGCUUUAUGCUGAGUUUUUAUUCCUGUUUCCUGUCUCUCUCUCAAAAAAAAAAAAAAAACAA